GUGCAGCAGUCGCGAAAACUCCGCAAUACGCGGGAGCGUGACGGGGCCAUCCCGAGUGCCGUCCGCUGAGGAUGGCUUUUCCCCAGUGUAGAUAGCUGGGGGAAUAAGGAGAGGGCAAGUCUGGUGUCAGCCGCCGCGGUAAUACCAGCUCUCCGAGUGGUGGGGACGUUUAUUGGGCUUAAAGCAUCCGUAGCCGGCUGGGCAAGUCCCCUGUUAAAUCCAGCGAUUUAAUCGUUGGACUGCGGAGGAUACUGUUCGGCUAGGGGGCGGGAGAGGCCGACGGUAUUCUCGGGGUAGGGGUGAAAUCCUAUAAUCCCGGGAAGACCACCAGUGGCGAAGGCUGUCGGCUAGAACGCGCCCGACGGUGAGGGAUGAAAGCUGGGGGAGCGAACCGGAUUAGAUACCCGUGUAGUCC
rnacentral:rRNA from 1 species